CAUGCCUCAAAUAAAUGAAAACGUUCAUAAUAGCAAAAGUUAUGAGAGAUGCUUUAUUCGAGGCUAAAUUGAGAAAAAAAAAAAAGAAAUGCCACUGAUAAAACGAGUUACGCAUUUGCUGCAAGUUGCUGACUCACCUGACUUUGGUACAUUCCGAAGGA
rnacentral:snoRNA from 1 species